AAGAGAUUGCCCAGCAAAAUAAGAGAGCCGAUGAUGAAGGCCAGUGUUCUCCAGUAUAUCGCCGAUGAAAGAUUUGAGAUCGGGCAAUAUACAGUUCUUGGCGUCGCUGGGGUCCACAAACUACAGAGGGAGGGAGCGAGCAAGUCGACAAAGAAUGGUGAAUGACGCCGGUGAUGAAAAGAAUAACGUGGUUUACACCUUCAAACAAGAAGGCAGAGGAAGUACCAUCAAAGUUGGCAGAGCAGGGAAGAGUGCUGUCUGUGGCCCAAGUAAACCUCCAGCUGCCACUUUAAACUUUAAGUCAAGCACGUGACCAACAAGGUUGUGAACAGCCAUAUACUAUAGCACAGACUCAUCUGCCCACGCAUUCAAUAAAUGACAAGAAGUAACAUUGCAAGCACUGUAUGACCUCAUUUUUAAAUCUCCCACUCAUGAAAAGAACAGCUCAAAAGAAAGUUCAAAAAAAUGGAUUUAAAGCAUGCUUCAGAACCACAAAAAUUGUUUUCAAACACAUCUUGCAUUGAACAAAUGAUAAAUAAAUCAUAUACCUUAAUACAUCAUGAAACCCCAGUGUUAUGAUGACAGUGAUAUCCAUUAGAUGAAAUGUUUUGAAAACCCACUGAAAAAUCUUAUAUGUUUGAGCAAGUAUGUAAAAACAAAAACCAAACAUAAAAUAAGAGAAUCUAGCAGCCCACACAAGGCAGACAAUGGAUUUAUGUGGGUAUACUGCAUUCACAAAAUCAAAAUUAACCCUGUCUUGCAGUCAUGGUUGUCUUUCAUGCUAUUUCCAGGUUGUAAUCAUUGUCCAAAAGCUGUCUACCUGAUUUGAAGUCCACAGAUGUUUGAUGUGUGAGUAGAUUAGGCUAUCCAUGCAAGUGCACGCUGAAAGGGAGAGAGAGUGAAUAUGUGUGCAUAAUUCGCACUUGUCUACAUGUGCACAGUGUGUUGAUGUUGCUGUUGAUGUUGUAGGAUAAAAACAAUUCCACCUAAAAACAUUUCCCACUGGGGAGGAUGGUAUAUUGAAGGGGAAUGAAUCAAGGGAAUGGGUGAGGGGAGGUGGAGGGUCUGUCUAGUGGAGGAAGGGUAAACAUGAAUACAUGCAAAUAAAUAUACAAAUAAUCUUGACUAUUCAAGGCAUUUGGAUUUAAUGAUUAGGGUCAAUGAUAAAAAAAUCUUUUUGAGAACUUAAUUUUUCAUACAACAAAACAAUUCUGAGCAGCUCUUAGAAAUCACAAAUCAUUGGCAACUGUGAAAAAAAAAAAAACAGCAACAAAUUGAUUACUACCAGUUUAUGCCAGACAAUUUUGACUCAAGUUUAAAAACAAGCACUAAAGUCAAAUUAAAUGUACAGGCUUUAAAGGUUUGAAUGAAGCAGUGGUGAUUUAGGAUCCCAGUGGCAAGUGAUGAAAAACAAACAAAGAAAGGCGUAAAAUAGGGCAAUCCCACAAGAGUAUGAAAUGUCUUGAGCUGGGGUUAAACAAAAAAUCCUAAAGAAGCAAUGAAACCAGAACAACGCUAACAUGCCAACGAAUCACGCAAAUUGUACAAAAUGUUUCCCAUGCUAAUACACCGCUUUUAUAAGUAGGAAUGAUGAGACACUUUUCAACCACAGUUGCAUAUGUAUCAGGUUGUCAUUUUCUUUGAGAUAUAAAUAUGUAUAUAUUAUGAAUUCUAUUUAAACCAACUGUACAAAACACGAUUUGUUUUCAAAAGCAAAACACACAACUGUUAUUCUUCCAUUUUGGGAGGAUACAAAAAUUCUUUUUAUUUACAAGCACAACACACAUUAACCUUUCAUUGCAUUUAAAAAAUGCAUAACAUGACUUCUCCAUUUUUGACCAGACCUACUGUGCUUUUGGUCAAACACCAGAAGUAAUUCAUAUUUUCUGCUGAGAUGGACAAUAUUUAUUAUAAAAGCAUAGCAUUUAUCAUAAAAAGAUCCCCCAAAAGCUAGAAUCAGCAAAACCCACACCUCAGCGUGCAGCACUGUUUUUACAAGGGACUUGAGAGCCUUCCAUCAGAACACACUCAGCUGUCCAGCUUUGUGCCAGUGUAGUGGGCACAUCUGCUAACACAAUGUUGAUAUUUUGCUGGCAGUAGGCAUGUAUAAAACUGCAACCAUAAGUCUGCCUACAAUAUAUUAUUCAUCAUAGAAGAUAAUGUGUCAUAAAUAACAUUAGUAAUAUUAAGAGAUAAAGUCUCAAGAAUAACUGACAAGUUGAUGAUCUGGUUAAGUGAAAAUGCAUUGUGAAAAAAAUUUAUUUAAAAGUAUUUUAAAUAUGCAGGAGCAUAAUACAGAUAAAUAAAUAGUGCUAACAUUGUCUGGUGACACACUGGCCUUUUGGUCCGUAAGCCAGAUACAUAGACAGACCAGGCUACUCCUGUCAGAGGCAAUGAAACAAAGGAGAAGAUGAGAACCCUGUUACUAUCAUUAUUCCUUUAAGUUAGACAUACACAAUUUUGAUUGUCACAAACAUUCAGCUUACUCAAAGCAGGUACAUGUAUCAAGUGUUCUCUUUCCCUGUUAAAAUUUGUGGAUGAAAGUUUUAUUUACUGGUAACUGCAUAGCAUAUCCCAGAUAUACUGGUCACCUGAUUACAUUAAAAUCUCACUUUGGAAUCAGGGUGGCAGUUUAUCUUGAGAAGAAAUUUGCUAAGUUAGAGAUGGAGUGAAUUUUGAUGGGGGGAAGUCUUCUACAGGUCCAUGAUCUUGCUUUCAGUUUUGCUAUCCAUCUUUUCAUGAAAAAAAAGGACUCAAAACAAUGAUGGAUGUAGGGGUCUCAACAUAAGUAAAUAAAUU
rnacentral:lncRNA from 1 species